GGUCUUGAAUUCCUGGCCUCAAGGGAUCCUCCUGCUUUGUCCUCCCAAAGUAUGGGAUUACAGGUGUGAGUCACAGUACCCAGCCUUUUUCUAACAAUUUCUUUCAGGGUGAUAUGUUAACAGGAUAUAGGAAAAAGGCUUCACUGUGCAAGACCUCUAAAUACCAAAACAGAGUCGAAACUGUGAAAUCUAUUUCAAUGCAUGAGAGCUCCUGUCGCUCCACAUCCUCAGCAGCACGUGGUGUUCGGUGUUCUGGAUUUUAGACAUUCUAAUAGCCCAGCUUCCCUGCUGAGGGAAGUGAGGAUAGCGUGCAAGAAGCCCCUGUCCCUGGAGAAAAGGAGAGCGGCUGGUCAAGGACACAGAUGAGGCCAUGCUUUCUGGUGCGAAGAUCCAAAGAAUAUCACGCCGUGAUUCUUCUGCUUCUCUGCAUGAAUCCCAAUCAACCAACCAAUCUCUCUCCUCCUCUCACUCACAGUAUCUUCCUACCAUUACACAGCUGGACCUGGGAUAGUCGGCUGGCCGCAAAGGCCUGGGGUGAGUGACUGAUUGAAGAAUUUG
rnacentral:lncRNA from 1 species